rnacentral:misc_RNA from 1 species
UUGAUUGAUUCAAACUAAUACUCCGACGCAAGGACGCAGGGUUUUGAUGGACGUCCUCUGGGGCGCCGGUGAGGGCCACCCCGAGGCAACGCGGUACGGUUAACAGAGGGUUGGGAGGUCGGGCGCGGGGCGCCCUCGCUCGGUAAUGAUCCCUCCGCAGGUUCACCUACGGAGA